rnacentral:rRNA from 1 species
CGCGUAGGCGGAUUUUCAAGUCGGGUGUGAAACCUGCCGGCUCAACUGGCAGCCUGCACUCGAUACUGUUGAUCUUGAGUACAGGAGAGGAGAGCGGAAUUCCAGGUGUAGCGGUGAAAUGCGUAGAUAUCUGGAAGAACACCAGUAGCGAAGGCGGCUCUCUGGACUGAUACUGACGCUAAAGCGCGAAGGCAGUGGGGAGACAAACA